rnacentral:rRNA from 1 species
UUGCCAGCGUUGUCCGGAUUUAUUGGGCGUAAAGCGAGCGCAGGCGGUUUCUUAAGUCUGAUGUGAAAGCCCCGCUCAACCCGGGGAGGGUCAUUGGAAACUGGAGACUUGAGUGCAAGAAAGAGGAGAAGUGAAAUUCCCUUUGUAGCGGUAAAAUGCGUAAGAUAUAUGGAGGAACACCAGUGGCGAAGGCGGCUCUCUGGUCUGUAACUGACGCUGAGGCUGGAAAGCGUGGGGAGCAAACAGGAUUAGAUACCUUGGUAGUCCACGCCGUAAACGAUGAGUGUUAAGUGUUGGAGGGUUUCCGCCCUUCAGUGUUGCAGCUAACGCAUUAACCAUUCCCCUUGGGGAGUACGACCCCAAGGUUGAAAUUCAAAGGAAUUGACGGGGGCCCGCCCAAGCGGUGGAGCAUGUGGUUUAAUUGGAAGCAACGGGAAGACCCUUACCAGGUCUUGACAUCCUUUGACCACUUUAGAGAUAGAGCUUCCCCUUCGGGGGCAAAGUGCCAGGUGGUGCAUGGUUGUCGUCAGCUCGUGUCGUGAGAUGUUGGGUUAAGUCCCGCAACGAGCGCAACCCUUAUUGUUAGUUGCCAUCAUUCAGUUGGCCAUUUUACCAAGACUGCCGGUGCCAAACCGGAGGAAGGUGGGGAGGAGGUCAAAUCAUCAUGCCCCUUAUGCCUUGGGUUCCCCACGUGUUCCAAUGGGAAGUACAACGAGUUGGGAAGUCGGGAGGUUAAGUUAAUUUUUUAAAGUUUUUUUCAGUUCGGAUUCCAGGUUGCAAUUCGCUUCCAGGAAGCCGGAAUCGUUGGUAAUCGGGGAUCACCACGCCGCGGGGAAUACGUUCCCGGCCCUUGUACACACCGCCCGCCCCACCACGGGAGUUUCACCACCUAAAGUCGUAACAAGGUCAU